rnacentral:rRNA from 1 species
ACAGAGGGUGCAAGCGUUAUUCGGAAUUACUGGGCGUAAAGCGCAUGUAGGUGGUCCGGUAAGUCAGGUGUGAAAGCUCUCGGCUCAACCGGGGCAGUGCAUUGGAUACUGCCGGACUGGAGUACAGGAGAGGAGAACGGAAUUCCUGGUGUAGAGGUGGAAUUCGUAGAUAUCAGGAGGAACAACGGCGGCGAAGGCGGUUCUCUGGACUGUAACUGACUCUGAGAUGCGAAAGCGUGGGGAGCAAACAG